AUUGUUCUGUCUUUUGCAUGCGAGAGAGAGAGCUUGGAGGACGCUGAAAUGCAUUGUCCUAUAUAUAUAUAUAUAUAACAGUAGUAGAUACACUUUUAGUUUAAUUUAUAUCGUUGUUAUCCACAGAGGUAUUAAUAGCACUUAAUUAAUUUAAGGAGAAUUAUUAAGGGCGUUUUUUUUAUGUAGAAAUGUAUUACUAAUUAGACUAGCGUAAAGCGUGGGAAACGAUACGCAGGGAAAUUUUGUUAGUUGGAAAUUGUAUUUUUGAUUAAGACUAGGGGAUAACGUGUAGGUAUUUUUUUAAAUGUCUAAGCUAGCCAUCGCUGUUUUAUUAUUUUUGAUAACAUUUUCUUUUUCAUUCUAACCCGACACGUGACUGGCGCACACAGAGCUGCCAGAGUGACACAGAUGGCAGGUAUGUACCCUCUCCUCUCAGUGUGUGUCUGUGCGUCAGUGGGGUUGUUGCAGGUCUGUUGUGAUGAGUUGCAUGUCCGUGUUUCACCUGACAGUAAUGAUUACACACCUCAUGCACUGAACUGCACCUGCAACUUGGUAUUUAGAAGUUAUUUAAGAUGUCUAAUUAAAGCACAAAGUGGUCUAACACUUUCACACAAUUGUUUCUAAAGGAUACAAAUGACAAAUCUUGACUUGUUCUAAUAUGUUUUGCACUAUGCUGAAUUGUUCCUCCCAUAUACAUUUAACAUCAUUAAUAGAUCAUAUAAAUGCUAAACUGAAACCCAGGACUGAGUGCGGGGCUAGUGUGAGUUUCAAACCAUGUUCUGUUAUGUAAGUCUGUACGUAGCACUAGAAAUCAGCAGGGAAGCAUUGGCAUAGAGUGCUAUACAAGAGUAUAUUUGAAUUGCAUAAUUGUCAAAUGAUCAAUGAUGUCUUUUCUGGGGUUGUGAAGUCAACAUUAAAUUCAUUCUUCUUUAGCUUACCGGUGACUAUUUGCUAUCCAUCAAAUAUAUUAAUCAGCCAUUUUGUUUGUUACAGGCUGACGAGGAUUCUGUGGCAGGUAUGUACCCUCUCCUCAGUGUGUGUCUGUGCGUCAGUGGGGUUGUUGCAGGUCUGUUGUGAUGAGUUGCAUGUCCGUGUUUCACCUGACAGUAAUGAUUACACACAUCAUGCACUGAACUGCACCUGCAAGCAAAACACUGCGCAGCAUUGAAUAACACAGCAAUAGCCACUGCUGUUUUUACCUCGUUGUUGGAAAGCCCUUGAAGCACGCUGUUCAUACAAAACAGUCAAAGUUCAUUCAGAUAUUUCCGGAGUAUCCCCCAUCUGUAGGAUUAUAACCAAUAAUAUCCAUCUGCUGUUUUACACUCCUUUAGCUCUCUGGUCCCUUCACAGUAGCAUCCGCAUCGGUUUUAUUUACAGUGGAAGGUAUUGGUUGCGAUUAACGUGAAUUGAGACCCUGAGCUUUCCUUUUGAUUUCAAUCUGAAUUCUGAUAUCGGAACAGAAUUCUAGCAUUUGAGAAAUGUUGCCAAAUUGUAGCCUACUGGAUGCAAAGGACACAGCAAUGCUGCUGCUGCUGCAUGCAUCUGUAACCUCUCGUCCUGAUUAUUGUAAUUCCUUGCUCGUUGGUGUACCUGCCAUUAAACUGAGAAAUCUGCCAGACUGCUUUCUCAACGUAUUACCCCUUGCACUGGUGACCAGUGAGUUUAUUGAAUUGGUUUUAAAGUUGCUGUAAUAACUUUGAAUGGCCCUAACCCAUGAAGGACCUUACAUCUCUGUGUAUUUCUAUUCGUUCCUUGAGAUCAGGGGGAAAAUGCAGGACAUUUAGUUCCACGAAAGUCUUAAUUCAGCUGGAGCCAUGGCUUUUCUGCUGUGGUGCUCCUCGUUUGUGGAACUCUAUUCUGGUUGACCUUAGGCUGAUUGAAACCCUGGAUUCUCAAGUCUGAAUUGAAAACCAUUUUUAUUUUUAAUGUGCUUUUAUACAAUUGGUCGUAGCCGGAGUGUAUUGUACAUGGUAGCGCGUUCUUUUGUUUUUAACUUAGUCCAGCACUCUGGGCUGCCAUGGCGUGAAGGGCGCUAUAUAAAAACAUUUGUAUUGGAUUUGUAUAUUUUCUGAACAAUCACAGUAGCCUGACACAUGCAGAUACCUGAACCGUAAAAAAAUCCUGAUAAAUGUAACUCCCAGUGAUGUUAUCCAAUGAAGUUAAUUGCUUAUUUGUUUUUGUUUUAGAGCUGCCAGAGUGACACAGGUGGCAGGUAUGUACCCUCUCCUCUCAGUGUGUGUCUGUGCGUCAGUGGGGUUGUUGCAGGUCUGUUGUGAUGAGUUGCAUGUCCGUGUUUCACCUGACAGUAAUGAUUACAUACAUCAUGCACUGAACUGCACCUGCAACUUUGUAUUUAGAAGUUAUUUAAGAUGUCUAAUUAAAGCACAAAGUGGUCUAACACUUUCACACAAUUGUUUCUAAAGGAUACAAAUGACUAAUCUUGACUUGUUCUAAUACGUUUUGCACUAUGCUGAAUUGUUCCUCCCAUAUACAUUUAACAUCAUUAAUAGAUAAUAUAAAUGCUAAACUGAAACCCAGGACUGAGUGCGGGGCUAGUGUGAGUUUCAAACCAUGUUCUGUUAUGCAAGUCUGUACGUAGCACUAGAAAUCAGCAGGGAAGCCUAGGCAUAGAGUGCUAUAUAAGAGUAUAUUUGAAUUGCAUAAUUGUCAAAUGAUCAAUGAUGUCUUUCUGGGGUUGUGAAGUCAACAUUAAAUUCAUUCUUUAGAUUACUGGUGACUGUAUUUGCUAUCCAUCAAAUAUAUGAAUCAGCCAUUUUGUUUGUUGCAGGCUGACGAGGAUUCUGUGGCAGGUAAGGCAACACUGUCCGAAGAUCACCAGCAACCCAACCAGCAAGCAUUGGGAUUGACUGCAUGUGUCUCUUGUGGUUAUGUUUGUAUAUAUACAAAAAUAAAUAAAGCAUUACUGGAAAAA